AUGAUAUGUAGAGACCCCGGGGGAUGGUCAAAAAAAUGGUGUCUGCUCUCCAUUCGUCGCCACAAAAACCAGAGUGACAACCUGCGACACUGCCGUCCACUUUGUAGAGCUCUGAAGUCAGGUGAGAUUCUGGUUUUGGUUUGUAUUUGAGGAAAAUUCUUCAAAGCUGCAAGUACCAGGGACAUAUUUUUUCCCAAAAUAUUUGACUGUGCAGUCACCAUAGAUCUUCCAAAUGGCAGCAUCCAAGCUGCCAUGGAGCUCUGCUUGCUGCCUGACACUGAUGCCUGCAGGGCAGUGCGAGGCUGUCCUGCAGGUAAAUCUGGAAUGAUUUCACAUGCCUUCAACCCAGACUGUUAUAUUUCUUUUUCAGCACAAGUUCAGCAUGACACAUAGACAUUUAUAUUAACUGCAAUUAAGCUCUAUUAGACCUUUGAUCUGCUACCAUGUUGUAGUGUAUAAAUGAAUGCAUUAAAAGAAAAAUAAAAUGUGAAAUGAUUAUCUUCUGUAAGACGCAAAGCUGAAUUUCAAGCUGUGCCUUUAGAGCAGUUUCAUCACAUUUUUAACUGAGCUAGGUUUUGUAUCAGGAAAAAGAGCUUUAUUGGAGAAGAUGAGGGAAAAAUAGAACAAAAGCUGAUGUUUCAUGAAACUGAGAAAUGCCACAGGCUUGAAACUGCAAUCUUUGCAAUUGGCAGUUGUGUCAUGUCAGAAGAGCGCUUAAACUUCAGCUACUCUGGGGCUAGGUCCCAGGUUAGUAAACUAUGAAUAAUUUUUCUGCUUCAGGUGAAACUAGCCUGGAUACCUAACCAACCCACGUAAGAGAAAGAACAGCAGCCCCAUCCCAUCACCACUGCCAAGAAGUGGUUCCUAAAUACUGUAUUUUUAACUGGGUCAUUCCCCAGAUCUCGUUUCACAUGCAGCCAGUUUUGGACCUAGCUGAGAGGACAAUAGCAAAUCAGUUAAAUCAGUGGAGCUACCCUGUGUGGGCUCUAUAUUUUAGAAAAAAGUGC
rnacentral:lncRNA from 1 species